rnacentral:rRNA from 1 species
UACGUAGGGUGCGAGCGUUGUCCGGAAUUAUUGGGCGUAAAGAGCUUGUAGGCGGUUUGUCGCGUCUGCUGUGAAAUUUCGGGGCUCAACCCCGAACUUGCAGUGGGUACGGGCAGACUAGAGUGUGGUAGGGGAGACUGGAAUUCCUGGUGUAGCGGUGAAAUGCGCAGAUAUCAGGAGGAACACCGAUGGCGAAGGCAGGUCUCUGGGCCAUUACUGACACUGAGAAGCGAAAGCAUGGGGAGCGAACAGG